CAGCAGCCGCGGGAAUACAGAGGGUGCGAGCGUUAAUCGGAAUUACUGGGCGUAAAGCGUGCGCAGGCGGUUUUGUAAGACAGAGGUGAAAUCCCCGGGCUCAACCUGGGAACUGCCUUUGUGACUGCAAGGCUAGAGUACGGCAGAGGGGGAUGGAAUUCCGCGUGUAGCAGUGAAAUGCGUAGAUAUGCGGAGGAACACCGAUGGCGAAGGCAAUCCCCUGGGCCUGUACUGACGCUCAUGCACGAAAGCGUGGGGAGCAAACAGGAUUAGAUACCCCUGUAGUCCCUGUCUCUUAUAA
rnacentral:rRNA from 1 species